UACGAAGGGGGGCUAGCGUUGUUCGGAAUUACUGGGCGUAAAGCGCACGUAGGCGGAUAUUUAAGUUAGGGGUGAAAUCCCAGGGCUCAACCCUGGAACUGCCUUUAAUACUGGGUAUCUCGAGUCCGAGAGAGGUGAGUGGAAUUCCGAGUGUAGAGGUGAAAUUCGUAGAUAUUCGGAGGAACACCAGUGGCGAAGGCGGCUCACUGGCUCGGGUACUGACGCUGAGGUGCGAAAGCGUGGGGAGCAAACAGG
rnacentral:rRNA from 1 species